rnacentral:lncRNA from 1 species
CUGGAAUAAAAUAGUAAGCUUUAUUAACAGAAGUUGUAGGAAUGUUGUGAUAAAUAACUAACUCCUUGACUAAAAACACUAUCCAAAUGUCUUUCAUACAUAUAAUUUAAAGAACUACAAGAAAUCCAGCUCAUGUAAAUCAAUAUACUCCCACUGGGUUCAAUAGAACUAAGUCAAUUUACAGCAACUGAGACUUUAGCUCCAGAUUUCAUGAUUCAAACUCACCAUAAAACAGUGAGGAGAAAUUUAAGAAGGGAAAAAAUCUACAAAGUUAAAUUGAUCUGCAAAUGUGAAGUAUUUCUCAACAUAAAUUAAUUUGUCGUCAGAUACUGGCUACUAUCACAUAAUGUCAAGAAUUUCAUUUAGCAGUGAAAGAACUGAAGAGUCAGUCAAUUGCAGUUUGUUCAUUUUUACCUUUCAGCAUUUCUUGUAUAAAAGACUGAAAAUAGGUUUUGUAAUGGAAAGCCUGCAAAAUCCCCAUAACAACAUCAGUAAAAACAGAUUCAGAUUCAAUAAAAUUGCAUAAAGCAAAUUUACUAGAAUAAUAUGUGGGCAGUUCAUCAUCACAACUGUAACAACAUUUUAAAUAACAGGAUGUCUGCUCCCUGGACACACUGCAAUUAAAAUGGGUUUGCAAUAAACGUGUUCAUUAGGUUGAAUCACAAGGUUGUAAAUAGAGUCAUCAGACAGAUAACUUCAAUGUAGUUAGUUUCAUUUGUUUCAUUUUUUCUCUUCUCCCCUUUAUUUUUUUGUAUUUUAAAGAAAGAGAAUUUUAAUUUAUACACACACGCUUUAUAUAAUAAAUCAUAGGCAUUUCAUUGAUUUUUCCUACAUAACUUUCACAUGGGAACCUGCAUUUCUUCUGCUAAAAUUCAUGUUGUUUAUUCCUCGGACAAGAUUAUGUAUACGGCAUAUGAGUUAACUGUUAUCUGCCUACCUGCAGUGUCUGAAAUGGAAGUCAACAUGACCAAACUUCACCUGGAACUCACUUUCCCUGAAAACUGGAGGGACAAAUGUUUUAUUAUCAAAUAUGGAAACAAACAAACAAACAAAAUCAAAAUCAAGAACUAUGACUCUAAUCAUCUUUUGACUGCAGACAGGGACAUAAAGGAAAGACUGGUCUUUCAGCCUGCUGUCAGUGCAGAGUCGCAGGGCUACAGCUGCUACCGUACUACUACAACUCCUCGAGACCCGCCUGGGUCUGGCCUACCACUGCCACUGCAUCAAGUUGUAGGUUUAAAGCCUAUCUGUCAUACCUGUCAGCUCCAAACAGUGUCUCAAAAGGUGCCAGAAACCUUUAUGUGGAUAACUGAAUCCCUGAUCACCUGCCCUUAGAGUCCCUGAGUGUAUUGAUGAAAACAGUUUUUCUAUCUAAAAAAUAUAAAAUAGUAUCUAAUGUCAUCAUGAUGCCUUAGCAUAUCUUGCUUGGCCUCCAGCUGACUCUCUACAAGAUCAAGAACCUCUUGUGGGUUCCUUUUUGCCAAGCUCAGAUAUCUGUCUUAGGUCCUUGGUAUAAGACUGUUAAUUCAAAUUGCUCUAUACACUUAGACAGAUCUGAUAAAUUGAGUCCUAGAUUUUUUUUCAUAGACUCUUCCUAGACUCAUAGUUCUUAGACUCUGAUCUAAGUAGAUGAGGACACCUAUGGUAGAGACAUUUGAUGGCAUACCCC